UAUGGGAGUGGCCCCGCGGUGCAUUAGCUAGUUGGUAAGGUAAAGGCUUACCAAGGCGAUGAUGCAUAGCCCGAGUUGAGAGACUGAUCGGGCCACAUUGGGGACUGAGACACGGGGCCCAAACUCCUACGGGGGGAGGGGCAGCAGGUAGGGGGAAUCUUCCACAAUGGACGCAAGUCUGAUGGAGCAACGCCGCGUGAGUGAAGUAAGGUUUUCGGAUCGUAAAGCUCUGUUGUUGGUGAAGAAGGAUAGAGGUAGUAACUGGUCCUUUAUUUGACGGUAAUCAACCAGAAAGUCACGGCUAACUACGUGCCAGCAGCCGCGGUAAU
rnacentral:rRNA from 1 species